ensembl:ncRNA lncRNA:CR43888 long non-coding RNA:CR43888
UACAGAGACGAUGUGCAACAUUAUUUAGGAAAAUGCUAAUAUCCUGUGCAAAUAUGUUCAAAUUUUUGAUGAUCAUUAUUGUGGCUCUCCUUGAACUAACCAAGGCACUGGAUUCACCUGGUGUUGCCACACAGAGGCCACCUGUUGGGGAUAAAGUUGUAUAUCCGGAGGAAGACAAGCAAUAUAUAGAUAUUCGUUGAGAAAUUAUUUGUUUAAUUUGCUAACAUCCAAAUGUUGCGCCUAAUAAUUAAUUAUAUGAAAUCUAUGUUAAGAUCAGACCAAAUUAAAAUGUUUGUAAAUAAACUUUAAAUAAAAUUAAUAAAAGAAGUAAAGGAC